rnacentral:rRNA from 1 species
CAGCAGCCGCGGGAAUACGGAGGGGGCUAGCGUUGUUCGGAAUUACUGGGCGUAAAGCGCACGUAGGCGGCUUUGUAAGUUAGAGGUGAAAGCCCGGAGCUCAACUCCGGAAUUGCCUUUAAGACUGCAGAGCUAGCAGGUGAGAGAGGUGAGUGGAAUUCCGAGUGUAGAGGUGAAAUUCGUAGAUAUUCGGAAGAACACCAGUGGCGAAGGCGGCUCACUGGCUCAUACUGGACGCUGAGGUGCGAAAGCGUGGGGAGCAAACAGGAUUAGAUACCCCAGUAGUCCCUGUCUCUUAUAC